CUUGCCUCAGCCUCCCAGGUAGCUGAGACUACAGGUACCCACCACCACAUCUAGCUAAUUUUUGUAUUUUUAGUAGAGAUGAGGUUUUACCAUGUUGGCCUGGCAGGUCUAGAACUCCUGACCUCAGGUGAUCCGCCCGCCUUGGCCUCCAAAAGGCGUGAGCCACUGUGCCCGGCAGAGCUUAUCUUUGAUUACAGAUUUCUUCUGGGGAAUAGCUUAGUUUGUGGUUUUGUUUUUCAAAACUCUGCUUCAGCAAAGAUGUGGGGAAAAAAAAAGGGCUAUGGAAACUCUUCUGAUUCCAGUUUUGGUGAUGGAAGACAGCCACCAGGAAACCCUGCCGAAAGAAUGGGUCAGAUCAAUAAUCUGAGCGGUCCCAGUCCUCCUCCAAUGGCUGAUGGAUGAGGAAGUCAAAUCUGCUGCUUCAAGGAUCAAAGUCUAUGUCCACUGAGGGUGUUUGGAGAAUGUGUUGCAAUCUCUGAAGGCAAUCCCAAGAGAGGCAUUCCAGAGAGGUUUUCAGCCAGGGGUGGCCCAGCAGGAAGUCACUCUGAAAACUCAGGUUUACACAACAUCUACUUGUACAAUCAAGCACACACUCUCAGGCUGCAUGAAGUACUGUCGCAGACAGGACUGCAAACCCUCUCAGGGCCCUGGGGUUCCCCUAAACCAGACCGUGAGCCUCUUGAGACGGCGGAUCCCCAACAGUGCCCAGAACCUGGGAAGGAGCUCAUCGUUCUCAAUGCAAUUAUCAAAAAUGACACUGAGAAGUUAUCUUUAUCCUCCUUGAUUCAAAAAUACAAUUUAUUUUAAAAACAAAAAGAGGGAAUGGAUGCAGAAGCCCGUCUGGGCUUUCCGUGGAGUCGCCCCUUCCCAAUGGCGAUGGCCGCUCCCUGUGGCCUCAGCUUCCUCCGUGGAAUGAAGGGGUCCAGGUGACACCUUCCUCGAAGGGUGGGCGUGGGCCUGAGGCUCCCAAGUCGGCCAGGGGCUCGGCCUGGCUCAGAAGAGGUGCUUCACAUCAACAGUGGUACGGGGUGGCCGCUGGGCCCUGGGUAGCGUGGGGUAGGGGUCGGGGGAAGUCGCUGUAGGGCAGGCUGAAGGGGUAGAGGGGUCUGUAACGUGAGUCCUGCCAGAGCAGCUUGUCCUCCAGGAAGGCGACGGUGGGCAGCGUCAGGACCAGCGUCUGGUGCUUGAGCAUGCUGUGCACAU
rnacentral:lncRNA from 1 species